rnacentral:misc_RNA from 1 species
UUGAAUUUUCUAAACAGAAGGGGUUUUCUCUUGUUGGGGGGGAUCCUUUCUGAACAAACAUACUACAUGACUAGGAAAUAAGAGACUGGGGGGGGAGGAAAGGCUGCUGUUUGUUUCGUCAUGAGGCACUCUGGCUAGCCCAGGAAAAAAGUUCUUGGCUGAUAAGUAGCAUUGAUUUGUUGAAUCCAUAAUCAAUA